rnacentral:rRNA from 1 species
CCUACGGGAGGCAGCAGUGAGGAAUAUUGGUCAAUGGGCUUACGCCUGAACCAGCCAAGUCGCGUGAGGGAAGACUGCCCUAUGGGUUGUAAACCUCUUUUGUCAGGGAGCAAUUGGCGCUACGUGUAGCGUUAUCGAGAGUACCUGAAGAAAAAGCAUCGGCUAACCCCGUGCCAGCAGCCGCGGUAAUACGGAGGAUGCGAGCGUUAUCCGGAUUUAUUGGGUUUAAAGGGUGCGUAGGCGGAAUGCCAAGUCAGCGGUAAAAUCGCGGGGCUCAACCUCGCUCCGCCGUUGAAACUGGCGGUCUUGAGUGGGCGAGAAGUAUGCGGAAUGCGUGGUGUAGCGGUGAAAUGCAUAGAUAUCACGCAGAACUCCGAUUGCGAAGGCAGCAUACCGGCGCUCAACUGACGCUCAUGCACGAAAGUGUGGGUAUCGAACAGGAUUAGAUACCCCAGUAGUC